CCCUUCAUGUUCUUGAAUUUGCAAUCUUUUUUUGGAAUCUUUUGCUAUUGCUGAGUAGUGAAAAAUUUUGAACUGUAGAUGGGUUAAACUCACUGGGACAGACCUUUUGCCUGGGGAUGUUGUGUCUAUUGGGCGUUCUACUGGUCCAGCAGGAGAAGAUAAGUCUGCGCCAGCUGAUAUGCUUUUGCUAGCUGGAAGUGCGAUCGUAAAUGAAGCUAUUCUGACAGGCGAGUCUACCCCUCAGUGGAAGGUGGUCUUCUUGUUCUUUUUCUCUUCCCUAACCCACAAAACCAUUUUUUGGAAACUUUUGCUUUUUGCUUUUUGCUUUUCUUUUUUUUUUGUGGGAAUUUUAUGAUUGUGCUACUCUUUGUUUGGCAAAUAAAUAGAAUUGAUUGGUAUUUGGCACAAUGUUUCAUGGGAUCAAUUGAGAUGUUCAAUGUACGAAAGCUUGCACCUUUCUUGGCGAGAGUUAAUGCUUGAAAAGUGCAUGUUUGCAUAAGUGCAUAUCCUGGAGGUUAACAACAUAAAAAAUAUAGCUAAAAAGCUACUGUUUUAAUAUUCUUUAAUUUUCUUGUUGCAUAAGUGUGCUGAUAUCUUGGAAAAAUUAUUACAUCUAAAUUGUUCGUGGAGCCGUGUCCUGGGGGAAAAUAUAUGACUCCUAUGUUCUCUGCAGUAUCGACUCUUUGUGAGAAAGGGCAAGCUAAUAGUUGAAAAAUGAUGAAGGCUUUGGGAAACCCUUAAACUAGUUCCCUCUUUCAAAAACCCAAGCCAAGUUUGGAUUUUUAUCCAAAAGUGGCCUUUGUUUCUUGAAAGUUUGUUUUGUCAUGUUUGGGUGGGAUUGGUAAUGGACAAUUGUUUUUGCUCUUCUGAUGAGGUUGAACGUUCGCUAAGUUAGGACAAUUGUUCAGCUCCACUCAGAUUAAAGUAGGGAGACCGGGACACAAGUUAAAGCAUCUUGUUGUGAAGGUUAAGCACCCUGAUUUCACCAUUUGAAAUGAAAACCUCAAAUGUGACAUUAAGUGUUUUACUGUUCUGGACAAAGAAUGCUUAAUAAGCUCCUGUAAAGCUGGUAAGCAGCUAAUUUAGGUUUGAACUUUGCUUGUUGGUCCACUCAGGUAAAGCCUUUUGAGUCUUUUAGCACAAGUUGUGACUUGAUCUUUACCCUUACCAAAUAGUUGUUCUGCUUAAAAUUGGAUAGGAGCUAGCCAACACCCAUUAAUUUUUUAUAAGGUGAGGUGUUACAUUUUCUGUGCACCCUGAACAGUAAGGUACCUUAUCUGAACAGUCUAUGAAAACUUGAUUCUCCUUAAAAUUGGAUUGAAGAGUUUAUGGUUACAACAGAUGUCUCUCUCUCUCUCUCCCUGUUUUUUUUUUGGUACACUAACAGCAAGUGUGCAAUCGUGCUUGCCUUUGUAUCUGCAUUUUGAGUGAGGUCUGCAAAACGUUUGUAUCAAUGAACCAGAUCUCUCUGAGGGGUUGGCCUCUUAGUUUUACUGUCUUAUAUUUGAAAGAAGGAACUAGUUGAGAGAUUUAUCUGCAUGCAGCAUUGCAUUCUCUGCACAACUUUUUUUGAUGGCCAACACAAAUUACUCAUUUACUGGUGCUGCAUCUGUAUCUUCAGUGGAACUCUUUUAGUGGUUAAGCAGUUGAAAUCAAUUUUCUAGCUGGGUAGUUUUUUUUUGGAUCCGCAUCUCAUGGUCUUCUUGUUUCCUCUUUUUUUUUUUGGUCUUUUUUUGUCUUUUGUUUUUUAUAAGUUAUUCUUUUGAUGCUCUUCAACAUUUUUAAUGUGAAAAUGUCCUUUUCAGGUUUCAAUCAUUGGUAGAGGAACAGAUGAGAAAUUAUCAGCUAAUAUGGGAUUGCGAGAUUUUUAUUUUUAUUUUUUGCGAAUAAUGAUACAUAAACAUAUAGUUUGUUUGGAUAUGACUAGGGGUGAGCAUCGAAAUCGAAAUCGAUAAUUCGGCUGAUUAAAUUCAUUGAUUUCGGUAAUUUUUCUUGUGAGAUUCCAACCUAAUUCAAUUUCGAAUUGAAAACUUUUAGUUUCGAUUUCGAUUCAAUUCGAAAUUGGAAGAGUAGCGAAUACCGAAUUCAAAAAGAAUAAUGCAUUUUGUUAUAUAUUAUAAAGUGCAUCAUAACAUAAUAUAAUGAUAUAUUCUUAUGAUAACAUUUAGUUUUACAUAAAAUUGAAUGUAUAUAACAUUCUAAUAUGUAUUUUGCACAUGCUAUUUACUUAUAUAUGGUAUUCAUGUAUAAUACAUACAUGUCUAAAUUAUAUAUGUGUUGUUUAAUAUUUAAAUAUUUUUUCAAUUCAAAAUUAGUAAAAUCCGACUUCAAAAACCAGUACCAUUUUCAUAUCUAUUUCAAAAUACAUGAAUUCGAUAUCUUCGUCAUCCUUCUAAAUUUAUGAAUUACGAAUUCUGAAUUUUUGAAUUCAUUUGGAAAUUGAUUGGUAAUUUGGUAAAUUUUGAAUUUUUACACCCUUAAAUGUAACUUAGUAUUUGGGAAAUGUUGUCGAAUUUUCUAUGUUUCUCUCUCUCAUUUCUCUACAAUGAUCAUAUACAUGGGAGUCUAUAAACACUUACUAUGGUUCACUACCCAGCACUAUUUCGUUUUGGCGAAAAGUUUUGAGUUCUAGCUUGACUUUGAAAUUGACUUGUGUUCUCUGUACAUGCUCCAUUUUGCAGGUCAAUGACAUUCACCAAGCAGAUUCAUGCAAAGUUAUUCCUGCUAAAUUCUGUGGUUCAAAAGAAAUUGUGCCCCUACAUUUUCGAAAGGUUCGAAGCCUGCUGAUAAUCUUGUGAAUUUUGAUUUCCAGCCUUCUUGUUCCACGAGUUGAAUCCUGAUUUCAACUUAUUUUUGUUUUCAUUUUGACUUUGGAUAUACUGCUUUCAAUAGGUUGUCAUGAUUUCACUAAAGCUGUAAGUAAUAUGAGUUACACCAUUAGAUGCUACAGUAUCUGUCAGGCACAAAAUAGCUAUAUUAUGAAAUACGAAGUAUUCAUGGAAAAACCUGUACAUCCUGGCUAUGUUAUGAUUUACCUAUGGCAGUGAAUAAUUAGAGUUCCAUUCUCUGAAAAUUAUCCCCUGUACUUGUACGUCCAUUAUAGCUCACAUGAGAACUGUCUCCGAUCAAGUUGUCUUUGUACUAGGGAUUUGACCACUAGAUUCUGGAGCACUUGUCUGAAAGAUUAUUAGAACGAUGCUAUGAUGGCCUCGAUAUUUAAUCCAGAUUCUGGAUGGUUUAUUACCUGGCAAAUGAUAGGUGGCAAAUGGCAAGUUUGGUGUGUAAUUGGGUGGGUUGUAAGUGGAUCACUAAUAAAUGGGUGAAAUUCCAAUUGAACAAAUGAUUAUAAGGUAUUAGGUGGGUUAUCAAUGGACCUGUAAGACCUAUUCUCAAGGUGACAUGAUAAUUUUUUUUUCAACUAUCUUUUUACAUGAUUUUUACCCUUUUAUUUUCUCCCUCGUUUCCCCUUUACCUUUUGGCUUUUCGAUUCUAAAAUAUUAAUGCAAUUGCCAACUGUCCUCUCCAUUGCUUGUUGAAUUAUCUGUACCAUUUGCAUGAACACGCCAUUUUGAAUUUCAUUUUCUGCACAAAUACCAUCAUUGGCCUGCAAAAUACUAGAAAUUUGGUGAAAAGCUUUGAAUUGACUAUGGCCGACGCUGGCAACUUCAUGUCCUAGAGUAAAUGUUCCCCAAAUCACCCAAUAUUCCAUAAAGAGAUACUCUCACAAUCUUUUUUUUGAGAAGGUAAUAAUUAUAGAUCACGUUCCUCUUGUGUAGCAAAACCUCACUUCAUCAUUUACUUUGUCUGGAAAGAACAAAAAAUGAUUGCACCAAACCUCAAAGUGAAUAGUCAUUGAGAUUCCCAUUGUCUGAAAUUUCUGAACUUUUUUGAAUUUGGAAUAUCAUAAACAUGAACUUCUUGUGAGUGACCAACCCACUGCACUAUCAUUAUCAAACACCGUGCAGGGAAAUUUGAGUUCGUGUCAGUGACUGCAGGAGAAGUUGAUGGGGAGCAGUCAAGAUGGUUGGGGCUUAUUAAGCUAAAGAUCUAUAGGUGGCUGAGUUUUGCUGUAUUGAUAGUGAAAAAGUUUGUGGCAGCAAAGAGUUUAUGAUUCCUGAGUAGGGUGUUUUAGGGCAAUCGAUAGGUUUGUGCUUGAGUGGCUGUCUAAAAGGGAUUUAUCUUAUAAUGUUUAAGGGGUUGAAGUCAAACCUGAGCAUGACCAAUUAAUUGAUCUGUCCAACCCUUAUUCUGGCUAUACGGUUACCACCUGUACUUGGAAUUGUCUCAGUUGAUGCCACUUUUGCAUUCAAGAGCAUGACUGCCCACUCCAAAUCUUUUCUUUUCGAAUUCGUUCAACCUCCCAAACAAACAAAAAGGGGAUUGAAAGGAUUUCCAACUUCUUGCAAUUUGCAUGGUGCGAUACUGAUUUUUCAACACACCCUCUCUAUGAUUCUUUAUGCAUUUGUACAAAUGACAAAAUCUUUAAUAUUUUCGCUGGAGAUGAAAAGUCAUAAUCCCAUACUUUGUUUCUUCAGUCUUUCUUUUUCUUUAUGCUGUCCCCACUCUGUCUUGUUUUGAAAAGAAAAAAUGUAUUGCGGCUGUCUGGUUCAUCUUGCUCAUUCAUAAAUGGAGGAUAUCCAGGUUAAGAAAAUUAUUCCAAACAAACAAUCAGAUGUUUGAUUUGAGAGCUUAACAGAUACUAUACCUUUUUUUUUUUUGGGCUGCACUUUUACAGGCAAGGGAAUUCUUUUUACAGUGAUGAAUAAUUCCGUUUUUUGGCCUUUCUUUUACUUUGCCCUUUGCUUUGUCUUUUUUCCUUGUCUGUUUCUCUUCUUCUUCCUUAUUCUUCACCAGCAAACCCUAGCACAUUAGCAUCGCCACAGUGCCACCAUCAAUUGCCAAUGCACCGCUUUUGACCACCGUCAACCACUACCAGCAGGCAUCAAUUUUAAGAAACCACAUAUGAUCUUACUUCAUUUUUUGAUAUGCUUUCAUUUUCGGGUACAAGGUUGACAACCACAAUACUAGGCCUGAACCAUCAGCUGAAGCAGGCACUCAGCAAUUUUUUCCCAUCAAACCCAAGUUAAAAAACAAAAAUACACAUAUAAAAAUGAGUCAUUGGGUUUAAGGAAAUUAGCUCCACCAUCAGUUACUAAAACAUUCAUACAAAUGAAUUUGGGGGUAGGGGGCAUUCGUGGAGCAUAGGUGGAGGCAUGGGGAGAGUUUGCUGCAUUCUUUCUUCUUGGAUACUUGUAACUUUUUUUGUUUUGUUUUUCUCUUCACUAUAGUGGAGAACUAAGUAGGUUAACAGGGGUGAAACCCACUAAAUUUGUCGGAGUGACUAAACCCAUUGAAGACCACUAUGAUUCCUUUAAAUUCAUUUCUGGUGGUUGUUACGAAACAUAAUUCGGUAUGAUUGACUUUGACUCCCAUUGCUGGGUCUGAUUUACCUUUACCAAAAAGGUCCUUCAUUUACCUGUUUAAACUAUAAUUUCUCCAGCCGCUUCCUCAUCUUCUCAGCAGUUUUCAAGAUAGUUGUUUUCUAUGCAGCUGGCAGGAUCUUCAAACCUAGGGGCUGUGGAAGAGAUCUAUUUUGAUUUCAGGAAGCAGUGUUUCAUUUUUUCUAAGGAGAAGGAAACUUUUUGUAAGCUUCCUUAUCCUUCUAAGGAAACAUUUGGAUAUUAUCUGAAAAGCACUGGCCAUGGCACUGAGGCUAAAGUUGUUGCUGCUACUGAGAAAUGGGGACGGAAUGCGUAAGUUGUUCAUUUUUGUUAAUUGUGUUCCGAAUCCCACACUUCAUUUACAUGAAUUUUACACAUCAGACUGAUGAUGAGCAACCAAUCAUCCCUGCCCAUAUUAUCUGCUUAUGUUAGAAAAGAUUUAAUUUCUUUCUGAGUGGGAUUCUUGUGGUUGUUUCCAGUGUUACCAGAAGAUUUUAUCCUGUUCUCAGUGAUUUUCUUGGAUUUUGACCUUGAGAGAAUUUUGGAUUUUAUUGCAGCAUCUUCUUUUUCGUUUUCUUUUUUUUUCCUUUGUUUAUGCAGUUACACAGACAAAUAACCUGACAAUUUGAAAAUGGUACAUGGUGCUUUGAGACUUUCACUUCAAAUAGUAUGUCGCUGUCAAAGACAAGGCCUUUUUGCUUGAUGUUCUAGCAAUAUCUCCGUUUAAUCUCUUUUGUGUAUCAUGUGGAAUGUUUUUGAAUGCUUUUACUUAUUUUUCUCUUCCUUCCCUCUGAAAAUUUUAGCGUACAGAAUAUUAUAAACUUCUCUAAUAUACAAAUUUAUAAUCACUGCAAGUAGACAUAGGUUUAUUGGAUACUUCAAUUUCAUUUUGGUGUAUAGUCAUAGUCCAACAUUAGCAUCAAUUUGAGCAAUUCUUUUAAAGUAAUUAUUAUUUUUUUUAUGCUAUAUCACAUUUAUGCUCAUCAAUGUGUACUUCUGUUGAAUAUUUUGCAUCUACAUUUCAUAUAAUUCCUUUAUCCUCGUGUUGGUUUUUUGUUAUGUAGAUUUGAAUAUCCUCAGCCCACAUUCCAGAAAUUAAUGAAAGAGCAGGUCAUGGAACCAUUUUUUGUAUUCCAGGUCUGCCGUCAUUUACAUUUGUACUUCUGUGUUGCUUGAAAAAAAUGUCUUCUUCCGAUUUUGCGGUUCAUUAUUUUUGUGAUUAAUAGUGUUCUUUGCUCUUUCUAAUCUUUUGAUGCUGCUUCUGUAGGUCUUUUGUGUGGGCUUAUGGUGUUUAGAUGAAUACUGGUAUUACAGUCUCUUUACCCUGUUUAUGCUGUUUAUGUUUGAGUCAACAAUGGCCAAAAGUCGUUUAAAGACUCUCACUGAGCUCAGACGUGUAAGAGUAGACAACCAGACAAUAAUGGUGUAUCGGUGUGGGAAGUAUGUUUUGCCUAUGGCUAUUGCUAAUUUUUCCCCCCCCCUUCAUGUUCUUGAAUUUGCAAUCUUUUUUUGGAAUCUUUUGCUAUUGCUGAGUAGUGAAAAAUUUUGAACUGUAGAUGGGUUAAACUCACUGGGACAGACCUUUUGCCUGGGGAUGUUGUGUCUAUUGGGCGUUCUACUGGUCCAGCAGGAGAAGAUAAGUCUGCGCCAGCUGAUAUGCUUUUGCUAGCUGGAAGUGCGAUCGUAAAUGAAGCUAUUCUGACAGGCGAGUCUACCCCUCAGUGGAAGGUGGUCUUCUUGUUCUUUUUCUCUUCCC
rnacentral:lncRNA from 1 species